AGACAGCAUGAUGAUGGACUGGCUAUAAGCUAAAUUAUUAUUAUAUUGUCUCUAUAUAAUUGAUGCUUAUAUAGUAAUUUUUAUUUCCAUAUUUGAGGCUUAAAUGACAUUAAUUGAAACUGGGAGUCAAAACUUAUUCAUCUUAGGAUUUUUGUAAUGCUAAAAGUUGUCUACUUGCAACCAACAAAUGCAAUUUUGAGUAUUUAGAGAAGCCGCUUGAGUCCUUG
rnacentral:misc_RNA from 1 species